GACGAACGCUGGCGGCGUGCUUAACACAUGCAAGUCGAACGAUGAAGAAGAGAAACGCGAACUUCGGUUUAAAUUUCACUUCGGAUUAGUGGCAGUGGGGUGAGUAACGCGUAAGCAACCUACCUCUUACAAAGGGAUAGCCUCGGGAAACCGUGAUUAAUACCAUAUGACACAUUCAUAAGGCAUCUUAAGAAUGUUAAAGCUAGGGCGGUCAGCGAGGGGCUCGCGUCCCAUUAGCUAGUUGGUGAGGUAACGGCCCACCAAGGCGACGAUGGGUAACCGGGCAGAGAGGGUGAACCGUCACACUGGAGCGGAGACACGGUACAAACUCCUACGGGAGGCAGCAGUGCGGGACAUUGCACAACGGAGGGAACGAUGAUGGAGCGACGACGCGUGAGCGAUGAAGGAAUUCGUGACGUAAAGCGCUGUUAUAUGGGAAGAAAAUGACGGUACCAAAGGAGAAAGCCCCGGCUAAAUACGUG
rnacentral:rRNA from 1 species